rnacentral:rRNA from 1 species
CAGCAGCCGCGGGAAUACGAAGGGUGCAAGCGUUAAUCGGAAUUACUGGGCGUAAAGCGCGCGUAGGUGGUUUGGUAAGAUGGAUGUGAAAUCCCCGGGCUCAACCUGGGAACUGCAUCCAUAACUGCCUGACUAGAGUACGGUAGAGGGUGGUGGAAUUUCCUGUGUAGCGGUGAAAUGCGUAGAUAUAGGAAGGAACACCAGUGGCGAAGGCGACCACCUGGACUGAUACUGACACUGAGGUGCGAAAGCGUGGGGAGCAAACAGGAUUAGAUACCCCAGUAGUCCCUGUCUCUUAUAC